rnacentral:tRNA from 1 species
UCCCCAGUGACUCAGUGGUAAAGAAUCUGCCUGCAAUGCAGGAGAUCCAGAUUCAAUUCCUGGGUUGGGAA